rnacentral:rRNA from 1 species
UACAGAGGGGGCAAGCGUUAUUCGGAAUUAUUGGGCGUAAAGGGCGCGUAGGCGGCUUUGCAAGUGACGGGUGAAAUCCCUCGGCUUAACCGAGGAACUGCCUGUCAAACUGCAUGGCUUGAGACCGGGAGAGGUGAGUGGAACUCCCAGUGUAGCGGUGAAAUGCGUAGAUAUUGGGAGGAACACCAGUGGCGAAGGCGGCUCACUGGACCGGUACUGACGCUGAGGCGCGAAAGCGUGGGGAGCAAACAGG